ensembl:rRNA 5S_rRNA 5S ribosomal RNA
ACUAGUAGAUCCAUACCACCCCGAACAUGCCCGAUCUCCUCUGAUCUUGGAAACGCGGUAGGGCUGGGCCUGGUUAGUACUGGGAUGGGAGACUACUACAGUUAAAGGAUAUGGUUUUUGCCAGCU